GACGAACCGUGCGAACGUUAUUCGGAAUCACUGGGCUUAAAGCGUGUGUAGGCGGGCCGUUAAGUGUCUUGUGAAAUCCCCCGGCUCAACCGGGGAAUUGCUGGGCAUACUGGCGGUCUUGAGCAAUCUAGGGGCAGAUGGAACAAGUGGUGGAGCGGUGAAAUGCGUAGAUAUCACUUGGAACGCCAAAGGUGAAGACAGUCUGCUGGGGAUUUGCUGACGCUGAGACACGAAAGCCAGGGGAGCGAACGGG
rnacentral:rRNA from 1 species